rnacentral:rRNA from 1 species
CCUACGGGAGGCAGCAGUAGGGAAUAUUGCUCAAUGGGGGAAACCCUGAAGCAGCAACGCCGCGUGGAGGAUGAAGGUUUUGGGAUUGUAAACUCCUUUGGUUAGAGAAGUUAAUGACGGUAUCUAACGAAUAAGCACCGGCUAACGCCGGGCCAGCGGCCGCGGUAAAACGGAGGGUGAAAGCUUUACUCGGAAUCACUGGGCGUAAGGAGCGCGUAGGCGGGAUAGCGAGUCAGAUUGGAAAUCCUAUGGCUUAACCAUAGAACUGCAUUUGAAACUGUUAUUCUAGAGUAUGGGAGAGGUAGGUGGAAUGCUUGGUGUAGGGGUAAAAUCCGUAGAGAUCAAGAGGAAUACUCAUUGCGAAGGCGACCUGCUAGAACAUAACUGACGCUGAUGCGCGAAAGCGUGGGGAGCAAACAGGAUUAGAUACCCCAGUAGUC